rnacentral:lncRNA from 1 species
AGACUCGCCCUUGGGUCCCUGUCUGACGAGCUCUAGGCAAUCUGCCCUCGUUCGGGACACAACCAUCGGUCUCACCCCUCAGUUUCUGCCAGAGAAAAAGGAAAAGUCACCGAGAGGCCUGACCCUGACGGGUGGGGGAGAUGCGCGUGCGGAGUAGCGGGAAGCGACUGAGGAGCGGGGAAUGGGCAGCAUUUGAAUGGAUGCGGGUGCCGCUGGCACCCGGGAAGACGCUGGGGGCCGGCGCUGUAGAGCCGGGCAUGGGCUGGGAUGUGUUUGGAUUCCAAUCCGGGCCUGACACCAGUUCAGUGACCUCGGGAAGUUCCCCAACCCUCCGGGCCUGUUUCCUCCCUCUGAAGUGGCGACAGUAGUAGAACCGACCUCGUAGGCUCAUCGGGAGGUCCUGAUGGGAGAACCCAUGCAACUUGCCACCAUAGAGCCAGGCCCGCGGCGGUUGGCGCCUGGUGGGUAUUAAAGACGAGUCGGGAAAGAAGAGCAGGUAAGAGGGUGGGGAGACUGGCCCAGUGGGUUGGGGUGUGCACCUCGGCCACGUGGAAAAGCGAGAAUGCAGAGGCCGGACGCUUAUGGACGAUGCAUAUGUGGGGCCGGAUAGAAUUGUGGCAGGCGGCGCUGGGGCUGAUGCUCCUCACCCGGAUUAUCCUCUCUAAUCCUCAGCCCUGUGAAGUGGGCACUGCCCUGAACAUUUUGUAAAUAAGGGACCCGAGGCUCAGAGAGGUGAAGUAACUUUCCAGACAGCCCAGCUCGUCAGCGGCCAGCAUUUGAAGUCACACUCCAGAGCCUGUUUUUAACAUAAUAGCCGCUGUGACCGCAUAACCAACGUGUGUGUUGAAGUGAUCAAAUAACCAUGGAGUGUCUUUGAUGUCCAGGACUUUUGAGAAAUACCGAAAAAUAUGAGGCAAGGCCCCUGCCUUCAAAGAGCUUGCAAGUUUUUGGGGGAGACUUAGGCACAAAUUAACCAACAUCUGUUGAGCACUUGCUGCUUGCCAGGACCCUGCCCUUCCCCUCGUGUCUUCCUCCCUUCCAGGACUCACCCCCUCACUUACCCUCCCCCUCACUUACCCUCCCCCUCAAUUCUCACAGCAACCCUGGGAGGUAGGCCUUAUGGUUUCUGUUUUGCAAAUGAAGAACCUGAGAUUGAAGAAGAGUAGAGAUUGGAGGAUCAGAUCCUGAGAGGUCCCAUGUGCUUUCCAAUAACAGUUCAGUAUAUUAGAAGACAGUGUGGCAUCCACGGCCAAGUACUACUAGUUGAUAGACUGGAUGCUGCUAUGGUAAUCUGCCUCAGGAAAAUGCCGGACUGUUGUUUGCAAGCUGGUUAAGUGAGCAAAUCUUGGGAAGAUUUCAAGUCAUGGAAUAAGGCCAUACCCUGUGGGUAGGGUAUAAAGGUUUCCCUCUAUAUAGUAGGUGUUCUUAUUAUCAGUCAUUCAAAGAAAAAGAGAAUCCUCACCAGAAAAUCUUGGAACAUAGAACAGAUGGAAGGUGGCACUUCUGGAUAUGCCUUUUUACAUCUGAACUUGGAAGAGUUAAGAAUUGUUGAAGGCCCUUCUCACUGAUCAGGGGAAAUAGCUUCUGUCACAGAGCUGCCUACUCCAGGAGAACCAAAAAUGAAAGUAAACACUCAUAUUUUGUAAGUCUGUUCCUCAACUUCCAUCAAUCAAGUUUAAUCUAAAUCAAGGAUUCAAACUGAGAAGCAUUUAAGGACCAAGAAAAAGUUAAUUAGCCCAGUAUAAGUCAACAAGAAAUGGUAAGCAGUAUGGAGGAAAAGAAGUGCCACACCCUUCUAGGCAUCCAAAUUCAAGCAUUUACAAUGUACUUCAUGAAGCAGUACCCUAUACAGCACUAAUAACAGCCCAAACUUGCUUGACAUUUCUACAUAACACAUUAUUCAUUAAUUCAGAAGAAAAAUAGAAUUCUUAAAACUCCUAACUUUAUUUUUAAUUAAUAUAAAGGAGGAACCAACAACAACAAAAAAUUGUGUGGGAGUUAGAAAAUAAGGACUAGGCGCCUGGGCGCGGUGGCUCACGCCUGUAAUCCCAGCACUUUGGGAGGCCGCGGUGGGCAGAACACGAGGUCAGGAGAUUGAGGCCAUCCUGGCUAACACGGUGAAACCCCGUCUUUACUAAAAAAUAGAAAAAAUUAGCUGGGCGUGGUGGCGGGCGCCUGUAGUCGCAGCUACUCUGGAGGCUUGAGGCAGGAGAAUGGCGUGAACCUGGGAGGCGGAGCUUGCAGUGAGCCAAGAUCGCGCCACUACACUCCAGCCUGGGCGACAGAGCGACACUCUGUCUCAAAAAAAAAAAAA